GCCAGCAGCCAUAUCACCCAGUAACUCACAACUGGGAACCCACUGAAGCUAAGCAGGUGUGAGCCUGGUUAGGACCUGGAUGGGAGACCUCCUGGGAAAAACUAAGGUUGCUGCUGGAA
rnacentral:rRNA from 1 species